CAUAUAUAUAUAUGUAUAUAUAUAUAGACAUGUAUAUAUGUAAGUAUAUAUGUGUACAUGUAUAUAAUCAUGUAUAUUUGUGUAUAUGUAUGUAUAUACGUGUGUAUAUGUAUGUAUAUAUAUGUGUGUGUGUGUAUGUAUAUAUAUAUGUAUACAUAUAUGUGUAUACCUGUGUAUAUGUAUGUAUAUAUAUAUGUAUGUGUAUAUGUAUGUAUAUAUAUAUAUAUAUAUUAUAUGUUUUUGUAUAUGUAUUAUAUCCAUCCAUCCAUCCAUCCAUUUCCUACCGCUUAUUCCCUUUCGGGGUCGCGGGGGGCGAAAGGCGGGGUACACCCUGGACAAGUCGCCACCUCAUCGCAGGGCCAACACAGAUAGACAACAUUCACACUCACAUUCACACACUAGGGCCAAUUUAGUGUUGCCAAUCAACCUAUCCCCAGGUGCAUGUCUUUGAAAGUGGGGGGAAGCCGGAGUACCCGGAGGGAACCCACGCAUUCACGGGGAGAACAUGCAAACUCCACACAGAAAGAUCCCGAUCCUGGAUUUGAACCCAGGACUGCAGGAUCUUCGUAUUGUGAGGCAGACGCACUAACCCCUCUGCCACCGUGAAGCCCUGUGAAUAUGUAUUAUAUCUCUAUAUUAUUAUAUAUUCAUAUAUGUAUGUAUAUCCAUAUUAUUAACAUGUAUGUGUAUAUGUAUAUCUAUAGUAUCACUGUUUAUAUAAAAUAUAAAUGAGCACAAAUGAGUCCUGCUUUCCCUUUUAUUCAAAAAGUAGAGCUGUAAAAAUAAUAUAUUUUUGUCUGCUGCAUCAAAAUUAAUGUCAUGAAUUAUAUCCAAUUUAAGACUGUCUAUGCCCAACCACAAAUAUUCCACUAUGCAUUCUAUCUUUCAAAAUAUUGCAUAUUUUGCAUUUUCCCAUGAUAAAAUAAAACAGUUGGUAUUUUUCAAUCAAUCAAUCAAUCAAUCAAUGUUUAUUUAUAUAGCCCCAAAUCACAAAUGUCUCAGAGGACUGCACAAAUCAUUACGACUACAACAUCCUCGGAAGAACCCACAAAAGGGCAUAAAAUGGUCAUAAAACAUAAAAAAAACACAAGAAAUUAUUAAAAACGGUAUAUUAGUAGAUAGAUCUGAAGUUGUUCGAAUAUUUCAAGCGUUGAAAGUAGAUAUUAAAUGUAUUGGUGACUUGUGACACUUUUGUGAGCUCUUUUGGUCCUAAGAAAAGUGUAUAUAGUUUAUCUUAAUCUUGCACAAUGUUUAAGCAGGAAAGGGAGAGGUGCAGGGUUAUGGACACACACACACACACACACACACACACACGAAACCCUUUGCACUGCAGGAACUUUUGCCUGUUUCAACCUGCAGGAAAUUACUUUCCUGGUCAAGACUGAGUUCUGUCUGAAACAGACAGCUAUUGAGGCUGAAUGAGGAGCUGGACAGACCCUCUGAGUCCCAUCAUGUUUCCAUGGGGGCUCAUGCUCUGCGUUACAAUGAACCACAGCUCCCCCGUGGGGGCAGCAUUCGUGCAUCCCCCAGACAUUGACUGUACCAAGACACAGUGAACCUGCUCCUCACUUGUGCUGACACAUUUUCAAUGGAUACUAAAGGCCUACUGAAAUGAGAUUUUCUUAUUUAAACGGGGAUAGCAGGUCCAUUCUAUGUGUCAUACUUGAUCAUUUCGCAAUAUUGCCAUAUUUUUGCUGAAACGACUUAGUAGAGAACAUUGACGAUAAAGUUCGCAACUUUUGGUCGCUAAUAAAAAAGCCUUGCCUGUAGCGGAAGUAGCAGACGA